CCUCUGCAGCCAGUUAAGCCAACUGAGUUCCUUUCCUCAUGGGGGCCCAGUGUGCAAUGGCUGCUAACAGCAGCUUCCUUGGUAGUGUACUCAGCCUGUUUCUUGUAUGGGUUGCUCUAAGGGACCUUGGAGACAGGCCUUUCAGAUGGAUGUUCAUGUCUCUGACUUUGUGCUAUCCCCAGUCUAGGCUCCAAACAGGUAUGCGAGGUACCUUUGGAAAGCCCCAGGGCACUAUGGCCAGGGUUCACAUUGGCCAAGUUACCACGUCCAUCUGCACCAAGCUGCAGAACAAGGAGCACGUGAUUGAGGCCCUACGCAGGGCCAAGUUGAAGUUCCCUGGCUGCCAGAAGAUCCCACAUCUCUAAGAAGUGGGGCUUUACCAAGUUCAAUGCAGGUGAAUUUCAAUGCAGAUGAAUUUGAAGCCAUGGUGGCUGAGAAGCAGCUCAUCCCAGAUGGCUGCAGGGUCAGUUACAUCCCCAGUAGUGGCCCUCUGGACAAGUGGCGGGCCCUGCUCUUGUGAGGGCUUCCACUGUGCAGCCCCCUCUUAAUGCUCACCAAUAAAUCCUACUUUCUGGGCUGGGCGCGGUGGCUCACACCUGUAAUCCCAGCACCUUGGGAGGCUGAGGCAGGUGGAUCCUGAGGUCAGGAGAUUGCGACCAUCCUAGCUAACACAGUGAAACCCUGUCUCUACUAAAAAUACAAAAAAUUAG